AAGGCUGUACAAAAUAACAGCAAUGGCGUGAAGCCCAAACAAGAACCAAUCAAAAUUAGGUCCAAAAAUACUCCACUUUACGUCUUCUUCAAUCUUCUUACAAGCCCAUUGAGGUUGUUGCCGCGAUCUCUUCUUCUUCUUCCUCCUCUUCGCGCCGCUAGGUUUUACCAAAUUCAAAGCAAAGUGAAUGAAGGUUUUUCGGGCAAAUAUGAAAACGCGUGCCACCUUUGACUGUUAAUUAGAAAGGGAUACAUCCAUGAGAAAAUGCAUUCAACAGCUUCUUCUUCUUCCUCUUCGUCGUCUUCCUAUUCUAUUAUUCAGCGUCUUCGCUCUUUAGCGUCUUCAAAGCUACGUUUCUUUACCUUUAUUUCCCUAUAUCUCCAUGUCCAGAUUUUUGACAUUUGCCAAUAUUAGGAAAGCUGCACAAUAUGCUAUUUCGAAUCCAACAACGAGCCAUUCGGAAUUUAGGAAGUAUGGAACAGUUGUUACUAUCGGGUUGCGGUUGCCGCAGUAUAGAGUGUACUCCCACUAUAGGUUCAACAUUGGAGGAAAGGCUCCAUGGGUAUUGCAGAAUACCAAGGAAGGGAUAUCCCGAGGUUAUUUUGCCUGGAACCAUUCAUUCCUUUCCGCGAGUAGUGCAGUGACUCAUCAUGCACAAGUUGCUUGGAAAAAGUUCACCCGUAAAUGUUCUUCGAGUUGUCAUCCAUUCCCUUACAUAAGGAUGGCUCAAGCAGUAAGCUUAGCAUUGUCCCGCUCUCACUUGAUAGUUCCUGGUAUUUUUGGCUUGGGAGGUGGACGACUGGCAUUGGCGCAGAGGAAGGUAGCAGAGACAAAUUAUUACCCAUCACCAAAUUCUUUGUAUAGUCGUGCUCAAGAUGGUCAUGCUUUUGUUUCUUCUAUACUACUUUCAGUGAUAGAAGGUGUUAUCUUGCUAGUGAGGGCUAUCUAUCUUACAAUUUUGUUCUCUCCGAGUAUAAUAAUGGCACCAUUUGCCGACUCUUGUGGCCUCAAAUUCAGGAAAAUAUGGCUUGAAGUCGUCCAUCGCACACUUGAAACGGCAGGUCCAGCAUUCAUAAAAUGGGGUCAAUGGGCAGCAACGCGACCAGAUCUCUUCCCUAAAGAUUUAUGCACCAAGCUUUCAGAGCUUCACAGCAGGGCUCCUGAACACAGCUUUGCUUUCACAAAGAAAACUAUUGAAAGAGCAUUUGGCCGUAAGCUUUCUGAAAUAUUUGACGGUUUUGAAGAGGAACCGGUGGCUUCUGGAAGUAUAGCUCAGGUGCACCGGGCUUCUUUGAGAUUCCGUUACCCUGGUAAACGGGUCAAGCCCAUGUUAGUUGCAGUAAAGGUUAGACAUCCUGGUGUUGGUGAAUCAAUUAGGAGAGAUUUUAUGAUUAUCAACUUGGCGGCGAAAUUAUCAAAGUUCAUUCCAACUCUUAACUGGUUGAGAUUGGAUGAGAGUGUCCAGCAAUUUGCUGUUUUCAUGAUGUCUCAAGUUGAUCUUGCCAGGGAAGCUGCCAAUUUGAACCGUUUUAUAUAUAAUUUCCGAAGCUGGAAAGACGUUUCUUUUCCUAAGCCUGUCUAUCCACUUGUGCACCCUGCUGUUUUAGUGGAAACAUAUGAACAAGGGGAAAGUGUUGCACGCUAUGUUGAUGAAUUUGAAGGAUAUGAUAUGGUUAAGGCCAAACUUGCUCAUAUUGGAACUCAUGCGCUUUUAAAGAUGCUUUUGGUUGACAACUUCAUUCAUGCUGACAUGCAUCCUGGAAAUAUCCUUGUUCGGGUGUCUCAUAGCAAGGCUUCUCGAAAACGGCUCUUUAAGUCAAAGCCUCAUAUCAUUUUCCUUGAUGUAGGCAUGACAGCUGAACUUUCUAAAAGUGAUCGUAUAAAUUUAUUGGAAUUUUUUAAGGCUGUUGCUCGAAGAGAUGGUCAGACUGCUGCUGAGUGUACACUUAGAUUAUCACAGCGACAAAACUGCCCGAACCCAAAGGCUUUUAUUGAGGAAGUAGAUGAAGCAUUCACUUUUUGGGGUACCCCGGAGGGUGAUCUAGUCCAUCCGGCUGAAUGCAUGGAACAACUGCUCGAGAAAGUAAGGCGUCAUAAAGUCAAUAUUGAUGGCAACGUAUGCACUGUUUUGGUCACCAUGUUGGUUCUUGAGGGUUGGCAAAGGAAACUUGAUCCAGGAUAUGAUGUAAUGGAAACACUACAGACGCUGCUACUCAAAGCAGACUGGGCAAAAUCUCUUUCCUACACCAUUGAUGGGCUGAUGGCUCCAUGAAAGAAAUCUUUAGAAAACAGUGGAAGGAAGGGCUAAACCAGAGAAAAUGAAGUGUAGAAAGCUAUUCUUUUUCUUCAAAUUAUUUGUUUAAUCACAUUGAAGCACAUUAUCUUUCUCCUUGAAUAAAAAUGGAUCACCAUUCUGGUAGGAUUCAACGGUUGAAGCUGGCUGCAGGGUUGAGGAGUCUUGACGAUAUACUGACGGGGGUGGAGCUCCGCGAUCACUUUGCUGCUCAGCGUUGGAAAAAUGAAAAGAAAUAUAUUUUCACUUUGAUUCAAUAGUACUGGAAGUUGGAAUAUCGUUCCAACGGCACCGUCAAACGCCAUGCAUCAAAAUCUAACAGCCUUUGCUGUUGCUCUUCUUCUUCCUCUUUGCUCCCAUUAACAGCCACAAAGAUUUGGCUGAUAAUCAAAACCCAAAUAAUGAAAGUUUUUCAGAUUUUUUUGGUUGAAA